UACGUAGGGUGCAAGCGUUAAUCGGAAUUACUGGGCGUAAAGCGUGCGCAGGCGGUUAUAUAAGACAGUUGUGAAAUCCCCGGGCUCAACCUGGGAACUGCAUCUGUGACUGUAUAGCUAGAGUACGGUAGAGGGGGAUGGAAUUCCGCGUGUAGCAGUGAAAUGCGUAGAUAUGCGGAGGAACACCGAUGGCGAAGGCAAUCCCCGUGGACCUGUACUGACGCUCAUGACACGAAAGGCGUGGGGAGCAAACAGG
rnacentral:rRNA from 1 species